rnacentral:lncRNA from 1 species
UGGUAUGUAACUAAACAAGUGAUUAUCUUGCUCAUGUAUUCUUUACUUUAUUCAGUUUCUUUGUUUAAGAUUGAAGUUUGUCUUCUAGUCCUUUCAUUUGUAGGCUAAAAUGUUGCAGUACCAAAUUUUGGUCCUCAUGAUUUGCAGUCAAGUCUCUUCCUUGAUUAUGUGGCCGUGCAGCCAGCCUCAGCUACAAGCUCAAGAUUUGAAGUUUCUUUGGGAGGGCUACAAGAAGUUGCAGAACUAAGACAACAAGUUGUUG